GGAAAAGAAACCAACCGGGAUUGCCUUAGUAACGGCGAGUGAAGCGGCAAAAGCUCAAAUUUGAAAUCUGGUACCUUCGGUGCCCGAGUUGUAAUUUGGAGAGGGCAACUUUGGGGCCGUUCCUUGUCUAUGUUCCUUGGAACAGGACGUCAUAGAGGGUGAGAAUCCCGUGUGGCGAGGAGUGCGGUUCUUUGUAAAGUGCCUUCGAAGAGUCGAGUUGUUUGGGAAUGCAGCUCUAAGUGGGUGGUAAAUUCCAUCUAAAGCUAAAUAUUGGCGAGAGACCGAUAGCGAACAAGUACAGUGAUGGAAAGAUGAAAAGAACUUUGAAAAGAGAGUGAAAAAGUACGUGAAAUUGUUGAAAGGGAAGGGCAUUUGAUCAGACAUGGUGUUUUGUGCCCUCUGCUCCUUGUGGGUAGGGGAAUCUCGCAUUUCACUGGGCCAGCAUCAGUUUUGGUGGCAGGAUAAAUCCAUAGGAAUGUAGCUUGCCUCGGUAAGUAUUAUAGCCUGUGGGAAUACUGCCAGCUGGGACUGAGGACUGCGACGUAAGUCAAGGAUGCUGGCAUAAUGGUUAUAUGCCGCC
rnacentral:rRNA from 1 species